rnacentral:lncRNA from 1 species
AACCGGGGUACGCAGGGGAGUGUUGAAGAGAGAGUGCGCGCGCGAGAAGAGAGAGAUCAAGAGAACGGGCAUCGCCAGCUGCCCGGGGGGCCUUCACUUUGCAGUCAUCAUCUGUACAAACUCUGUGGAGUGAAGCAGAGAGAGAGGAGAGAUCAAGCCUGGCCUUGACUCACCUUCAUAAUUGACCUGGCCAUCUCCAUCGAUGUCAGCCUCCCUGAUCAUCUCAUCCACCUCCUCAUCGGUCAGCUUCUCCCCCAGGUUCGUCAUUACGUGACGCAGCUCUGCGGCGCUGAUGUAGCCAUUCCCAUCCUGGGGGUUGGGGAUAAAGCCUUUCACUGGGCACUUCUCCCGGUGGGGAGAGAGGCAGUGAGAGGGGUGGCUGUCAUCACCAUCCCUCAGCAGUGAGCACAGUGAGGGAGGCUGCCUGAGGUGGCAGAGCAGGUUGGCAAUGAGGCUGGCACCGGGACCCGGACCUCCUGGAAGUGGUAGCUCCGUGGCUCCAGUUCCGCCUGUCUGCCUGAAGGCUGGCGUCAGUCUCAGAGCCGCCCCUGGAGAGGGCUGCUUACCUUGUCAAAGACACGGAACGCCUCUCGGAUCUCCUCCUCACUGUCUGUGUCCUUCAUCUUUCUGGCCAUCAUGGUCAGGAACUCCGGGAAGUCAAUGGUCCCGUUCCCUGGAAGGUGGGGAAAGGAUGGAGAAUGCUCUUGGCCUGGGCCCUGAGAGACACGGGCUCAUCCAUCACCCUGAGAGAGGCUCCCUGCAGUCACUCGGGGUGACCAGGAGCAGGGCUGCCCACGCGCUCUGUGGGGCUCACCAUCUGCAUCCACCUCAUUGAUCAUAUCCUGCAGCUCUGCUUCAGUGGGGUUCUGUCCCAGGGAUCUCAUCACUGUCCCCAACUCCUUGGUGGUGAUAGUGCCAUCUCCAUCCUUGUCAAAGAGGGAGAAGGCCUCCUUGAACUCUGGGGGAAGAAGGGGGAGGAGUCAGAGGUCACAAGGUCCACAGGAGAAUCCUUACCUCUGGAUGCUGGAUGCCUUCCCUGGAGGAAGGCCAAGGGCAUCAGUCCCACCUAAAGAAACUGAGACAGACUUCAAGUCCCACGCAACCAGCUCUCUCUCCUCAGUGCUCAGGGCAAAGCCCUUCCAACCUUCAUUCAACAGUUAUUGAACAUCAACACUGUGCUAGGUGAAGCUAUUUUUCUGGCCAGCCAGUGAAGACAGUGGGGAAAAUGGUCUGACAGCUGUCCUUAGAUGAUUCUACAUUUCUGUUUGGUCCCUGGCUUUGACUUCUCCCUUGAAAUGAUGAAAUGAACCAAAGUCAUGGAGUGAAUGAGAGCCGAAA